rnacentral:antisense_RNA from 20 species
AUCAAUGGGUGGGCCGUGGCGGGGAGACGCUUGCGUCUGCCGGUUUCCUGUAGGCCGGUUCGCCAACCCUGUCACGUGCCCGCCCACCCCA